CGACUUUAACACCUCUGUAUAUUCACAAUGCUGUGUAUAUAGACAGCAUAGUUGAUUUAUAAUGAAAAUAGUAUAUUUUUGAUGUGACACAUUGCCUGAUUGCAGAGUAGGCAUGUUGUCAUGCACACUGCAUAGACUUACUGUAGCUGCGGUUUGGUUCUAUGUAGCGAGUGGUCAUUCACCAGACGCCACACAGUGAGGGUGAGGAACAUGAGAACAUGGAAGAAGAGGAAGGUAGCACAGGCUCCUCUCGAGGAUCCCUACAAUGGUAUCAAGUGCCUGUUUACUGGUCUUACUUUGAUCUACGGAGGGGUGAAGACCAGUGACAACCAGAAAAGAAAGACAAUCGUGAUAUACUGUUCACUGCAUUGCAUUUAGCGUUCUCUCUCUUCUUUCAUGAGAACAUCUUUGUAAAUAGCAAAAGCAAUUUUAAUUUUCAGAUACAGUUUGAGCCCUUGAACUCUUGUUGGUGGUAACAGAUAUGAAUCCCUCUCUUUGUAGCAGCUAUGUUGAUAGGUUUAUUCUUAUUUUAAUUAUUAUUUUUAUAUGAGUCUUUUUUAAAUUAAAGUGAAGAAGUGUCAUACUGACAUGCAUGGUAAACUACUUGGAUUUCAUGCCCUGACAGAUGCAAUUCAAAUAUGUAUAAAAGUAGCACACACUGCCUGCCCUGAAGUUUUCUUUGUGUCUAACUGUGAAACGUUUUAUAGUAAAGACUUUUGUGCUGUACAGAUGCCGUCUAUGCCUUUCAGCCUUCUUAGAAAUGUUUCUCAGACUUCAUUCUGACACUUUCAUACUGUGGUUUUGUUUGCCAUUUACAAGUCUGUGAAAACCUUUGACUGUGGUACUUGUGUCAGUACAUGUGAGACAGAAGAAAGUGAGGUAGAUGCUGGGUUGCAGGGUGGAAACUGUGAUGGUAUUGACAGGUCAAUGGCAGGAAAUGGAAAGUGCAGUGCAUCUGGUUUUCUUUGACCUUAUUUUCAACACGAUGCACCUGUGUGUACUUCUGUUGACCAACAAACAAAAAAGCAAGUAAUACUGUAAAUAACAUUUAGACAUGUAGAAUAAAUAC
ensembl:lncRNA